rnacentral:misc_RNA from 1 species
AGCAGCCGCGGUAAUUCCAGCUCCAAUAGCGUAUAUUAAAGUUGUUGCAGUUAAAAGCUCGUAGUUGAAUUUCGGGAUCAAUUAAUCGGUCGUGCCUCUGGUACGCACUGGUUUUAUUGGUUUCUCCCUUCUGACGAACCAGGAUGUCAUUAAUUUGGUGUCUUGGAGAAUCAGGACUGUUACUUUGAAAAAUUAGAGUGUUUAAAGCAGGCUAACGCUUGAAUACAUUAGCAUGGAAUAAUGAAAUAGGACGUUUGAUCCUAUUUUGUUGGUUUCUAGGAUCGACGUAAUGAUUAAUAGGGAUAGUUGGGGGCAUUAGUAUUCAAUUGUCAGAGGUGAAAUUCUUGGAUUUAUUGAAGACUAACUACUGCGAAAGCAUUUGCCAAGGAUGUUUUCAUUAAUCAAGAACGAAAGUUAGGGAUCGAAGACGAUCAGAUACCGUCGUAGUCUUAACCAUAAACUAUGCCGACUAGGGAUCGGAUGAUGUUAAUUUUUUAAUGACUCAUUCGGCGCCUUAACC